rnacentral:rRNA from 1 species
UACGAAGGGAGCGAGCGUUAUUCGGAAUCACUGGGCUUAAAGCGUGCGUAGGCGGAUUUAUAAGUCAGAAGUGAAAUCCCUGGGCUCAACCCAGGAACUGCUUUUGAGACUGUAAGUCUAGAAUUCGGUAGAGGUUAGUGGAAUGUCCAGUGUAGAGGUGAAAUUCGCAGAUAUUGGACGGAACACCAGUGGCGAAGGCGACUAACUGGGCCGAUAUUGACGCUGAGGUACGAAAGCGUGGGUAGCAAACAGG